rnacentral:rRNA from 1 species
AUACCCCAUAGUAUACAGAGACUGCAUGGUUUUUAUAUUAAAGAUUCAUCGGUAAGGGAUGGGCAUGCGUAGGAUUAGUUAGUUGGCGGGGUAACGGCCCACCAAGACUGUGAUCCUUAGGGGUUCUGAGAGGAAGGUCCCCCACACUGGCACUGAGAUACGGGCCAGACUCCUACGGGAGGCAGCAGUAGGGAAUAUUGGGCAAUGGGCGGGAGCCUGACCCAGCCAUGCCGCGUGCAGGAAGAAGGCGUUAUGCGUUGUAAACUGCUUUUAUACGGGAAGAAAAGGCCCAUGCGUGGGACAUUGCCGGUACCGUAUGAAUAAGCACCGGCUAACUCCGUGCCAGCAGCCGCGGUAAUACGGAGGGUGCAAGCGUUGUCCGGAUUUAUUGGGUUUAAAGGGUGCGUAGGCGGCCCGUUAAGUCAGCGGUGAAAGUCUGUGGCUCAACCAUAGAAGCGCCGUUGAUACUGAUGGGCUUGAGUGCCGUAUGGGUACAUGGAAUUGAUGGUGUAGCGGUGAAA